CCCCUCUUCAAGAAAGUCUGAGGUAAUGUCUUGGUGAACUUAGUUAUCUUAGCUGCUGUAUUAAUGCUUGUGACGCUAUUGUACAGCUCUGCUGAUAUCAUCGUCUUUAACAGCAGUGUUUUCUCCCAGGUCUUCUUCAAGCCAGUUAAGAGAGGAAGAACAGCUUAGACACUCAGGCAGCUGAACGCACCAAAGAUGGACAUCAUGCAGCCACCCUGAGCCUUGAGCCUCUCUGUGUGAGGAAGCUUUGCUGCUGCAGACCUGGUGAAGUUGCUCUGGACAGAAAUAUUUUUUGCUCUGCUGCAGUGCUGAAGGUAUUCAUUGUAAUGAUGUGUGUAUUUAUUCAACGUGUUUAGUUUCACAGAUUAUCAACACAAAUGUUUCUGUUUAUUUCCUGUUUUGAACCAGCUACAUUCUCCUACUUCAAGUCACUGUCUGUUCAUCCACGGUGUAGCCAGUGCAGCUCAGCAGAGUCCUACUAAUGGUGAUCCUUCAAGUCCUGCAGCCCUAUGAAGCAAGCUGCAGCAGAUGUCAACACAUUCA